AAGCUUCCUUUAGUUCAGUGCAUAACAUUGGAAUGAUACAGAGAUUAGCAUGACCCUUUGUGUAAGGAUGACACAUGAAUUCAUGAAAAAUUCUGUAUUUUU
ensembl:snRNA U6 U6 spliceosomal RNA